rnacentral:rRNA from 1 species
UGGGGAAUAUUGGACAAUGGGCGCAAGCCUGAUCCAGCCAUGCCGCGUGAGUGAUGAAGGCCCUAGGGUUGUAAAGCUCUUUCACCGGUGAAGAUAAUGACGGUAACCGGAGAAGAAGCCCCGGCUAACUUCGUGCCAGCAGCCGCGGUAAUACGAAGGGGGCUAGCGUUGUUCGGAUUUACUGGGCGUAAAGCGCACGUAGGCGGACUUUUAAGUCAGGGGUGAAAUCCCGGGGCUCAACCCCGGAACUGCCUUUGAAACUGGAAGUCUUGAGUAUGGUAGAGGUGAGUGGAAUUCCGAGUGUAGAGGUGAAAUUCGUAGAUAUUCGGAGGAACACCAGUGGCGAAGGCGGCUCACUGGACCAUUACUGACGCUGAGGUGCGAAAGCGUGGGGAGCAAACAGG